GAAAUAUCUCUCUCUCUCUCCAACAAUUUCUCCACCAAAGAGAGGAAUUGGAGGUGCAUUUGGAGAAGAAAAAGGUUGCUUGGAGGUGAAGUCUUCAUCCUCUUCAUUACUUGGCUUGAGGAAAAGCUUGUGUUUGAGGUGCCUAAACGCGUGGGAAUCGUCGGUUCGUUGAUUCGUCGAGCGGGUGCGACGUUCUGGCAGAAACAAGCGCAGGCGGCCUUGUGUAGACCGAAGAGUAAAGCGGCGACUAGGGAGCGUGCAAUUGAGAACCUAGCCUUGUGACACUACCAAAAGGUACACAUAGAGGCGAGCUGAGUGAGGACCGCGGCAAGGGCAUAGCGCCCUGAGUGAACCUAGUUAGUAGCUUUUCCUUAUGCAUUAGAGUACCCUCGUGUACUAGUUGAUAUUUUGGAUAGGUAUCAGAGAGCUACUUGCAUUUUGAAGAAAACAUGUACUUACAUUUUGGAAGAUGAAAAUACAAUAUAUUCAAAUAAUGUAAAA